rnacentral:rRNA from 1 species
CCUACGGGUGGCAGCAGUGAGGAAUAUUGGUCAAUGGACGCGAGCCUGAACCAGCCAUGUAGCGUGCAGGAUGACUGCCCUACGAGUUGUAAACUGCUUUUGUACAGGAAUAAACGCAGGUACGUGUAUCUGUCUGAAAGUAUCUUACGAAUAAGGAUCGGCUAACUCCGUGCCAGCAGCCGCGGUAAUACGGAGGAUUCGAGCGUUAUCCGGAUUUAUUGGGUUUAAAGGGUGCGUAGGCGGUCGGAUAAGUUAGAGGUGAAAUCCCGAGGCUCAACUUCGGAAUUGCCACUGAUACUGUUAGGCUAGAGAGUAGUUGCGGUAGGCGGAAUGUGUGGUGUAGCGGUGAAAUGCUUAGAGAUCAUAAAGAACACCGAUUGCGAAGGCAGCUUACCAAGCUACUACUGACGUUGAGGCACGAAAGCGUGGGGAGCAAACAGGAUUAGAUACCCGAGUAGUC